GGGUAUAAGAGCAAUCUGGCCACGAUACCUGACCUAUCAAUUGCCAGUCAUCCUAUCAAUUGCCAGGGUUGACUCAGCUAUCCAGCUGGCUAGGGUAGUAUCCCCUUUGUCCGUCACCUCUCCAUAUGCAUCCCUUCCAAAGCUGCAAAGCUGCAUGCAAGGUCAAAGAGGACAACCUUCCCAGAAUAGAGGAGGACUGGGCUUCAGUCAAGGGUAUAGGAGUAGCUGUGAGGCUAGAACCCCCACUAACCAAAAUUAACUGGGACUCCAUCCCAUCCACCCAAAUAAAUCCUAAGUGACUGAACAAACUGCAGCUCGAACCCAGUCACGGUUG
rnacentral:snRNA from 1 species